UUCCUACUCCCUCCGUCCGGAAAAAUUUGUCCCUCAAAUGGAUGUAUCUAGCACCAAGUUAGUGUUAGAUACAUCCAUUUGAGGGACAAGCUUUUCCGGACGGAGGGAGUACUUC
rnacentral:pre_miRNA from 1 species